UCCGGCGUCACCCAGUCUGUUUCGCCGAGUUUCUUGGUGCUCGUGUUCCGAAACUGCGAAAUUCAAUCACCGUCGAAGAGGCAACCCCCUAUGUAGGACGUGUAUCACUCUCCGAUGUUUCGAAAUUACGUAAGAUUUCAAGCGAGACACGUUCACGCGACGCACGAGGAUGUACCUUGCUCGUCUCAGGAAGUACGAGAACUUGGUGUACGAGCACGGUUGAU